AAAUGUGCUGCUCUCUCACCAGGCCCGUGACUCCCAGGCUGCUCAGCUUGACAUCUAGGAGCAAGGAUCUCUCAGUUGCUGCCUGAACUGCAGGAGAGCUGGUUGGAUCUCCGGAGGAACAGAGUCGCGUGCAGCAGUAAGGCAUACCGCCAGGCCUAGGAGCUCCAGAGUCAGAGUACAGAUUGGCUGCAAAAAGAACCCAGGUGGAACACAGAUGUAAAGAUCUUGGAGGCAAAGACCUCCCUGCCAGGAAAGGACAAGGGACAUCAGGAGCAGGGUGGUACUGACGGAAGAGAAGAUCCUGCCUCUACAUCCAGAGUUAUCCAACAUGGCUGCCCCAGCCAGCAGAAGGAGACACAGAGGCAGAAUGAAGAACAAAUUUCUGAGCUACAGGUGGAGAUGGACAGGCCAGUGACAUUGCUGGAGGAUAGGAGGCAAGAACUGCAAAGAAAGGGCUCGGGCUGUGAUGGCAGCAGGUUCAGCAAGGUAGUCCGGAUGUCCCUCUCACCAGCAACUCUGGCAGGAUUCUGAGGGGUUCCCAGGCCAGAUGUGUUCUGGGUCUGUCCUGGGGUCUCCUACCAGUUGGACAUUCCCAGAAGACCUCCAAAGGCAGACGCCCUGGAGGCAUCCUAAUAAGAUGCCCGAAUCACCUCAACUGGCUCCUUUCGAUGUAAAGGAGCAUUGGUUCAACUCUACACCCUAUCUCUAAGGACUCACCAGAGGACGUCAUUUUCAUCCAAGCAGAUGGGUCAGCAGACAGAAGAAGAUAGACAGGAAGAGAGAUGAAGAGAGACAAUGCAGGCAAUGCAGUAGUGUCCCCUGAAGGCUGGAAGUGCUGAUCCUGCGCAGUGGAGUGAAGAAUGUCCACACUGGAGAAACAGAGCAGCUGCAGCAGAAGAGCUACAGCAAUCUCUUAAAGGCUCUCCUCCAGGCCCGCAGAUCAGUGUGCCCAAGGCGUCCAGCUGUAGAGUAUGCACCACGCAGCGGUGUGUUAGCUGAGUAGAGGUGUCCAGACUCAACCGUCUUAAAGCAGCUGUCUGGCAGAGCUGUUGGACCUUCAGGAAGCAGGGAGCAGCUGCAGGCAGAGGUCUUGUUAGGGACCAGUGUAGUCAGUAGGAGAUAACACCUCUGGAGUCGAGGGUUACCACACAGGAUGACCUGGAGGCUGCUCACAGCCAAACCACUAAAGACAGCAAAGUACCAGCUGGGAAGUGUACUCAUGUUACAGUUAGAAGCCAUUCCCUGAAUACAGUAGUUUAAAGUCACAGGCAUACACUCUCACACACUCUAUUCAUUAUGUCCUCUCACUUUUUCCUCAGCAGUGCAGUGAAUGAGCUACUCUGUCAGGCAGAGAUGGAUCUGUUGAAAACAUGGGUAUCUCUGUAGAGAGGGUCUGUGAAGACAGCAGCAAGUAGCUGGAACCCCACAGCCCUAUAGCAGAACUUCACUGUCUCACUGUGACCCAGCGUGGCAUCCCCUCAGCCCAGCUGCUUGGAGCUCGAAUGAAUUAAGACCACUGCAAAGACUUGGGUGUAGGAAAACAGUGCAGUUGGUCUCUUUACCUGAUUGAGGAGGCACUGGUCUGACAGAAGGAGAGGACUUUGUUGUCAGCAGGUGGGCAUCUGUGGACUCAGCAUUUGCCAGCAGAAGUCACAAAAACUCAGCAGCUCCAGAGCUUUAAGUGCAAAGCUACAGAUACUCAAUAGGUGGAUCAUUCAGGUUGAAGCCCUCUUGUGAGAUCAGGUGUUUAACUGGACAGCUAAAGUGAGAUGGCGGCAUCUUAACCAGCACCUUGCCAAAGGUUUCAUGUUCACUCAGCCACUGGAGCUGCUGAACACGAAAAUUUACCUGCAGGAGGACGUGAAAGCUCAGCAAAUUGAAGUCAUAGGACUUGAAGCUGAGCUUGAUGAGAACGGCAUCCAAAAGAUGAUACAGAACCCUGUCAUCCCAUACUUUUGGUUGUGCCCAUCCAUUAUUUCCUUUGACUUUUCAGAGGGCAUCAGCAAAAAUAUUCUGAGCUUCUACAGCAGCAGUGAAGUGGAUCUCCUGUCGCUGGAUUGUAGUAGAUGGACUAUUCUAUCUGAAGCUGCAUGAUAUUCUGAUCACCGGAGAGGGCGGAAGAAGGCAGACAUCAACAAAGGCCACAACCUGCUUCUGUCACUGUGUCCCUCUCUCCCCAUCUCCCUGUUCACAUCAGGACAAACUACUGCACUUCGCUCCAUACACAAGCUUCUACAAAGUUCAUCAGAAAUGAGACAAACUGUUAAUGCUGGCUGGACAAUGCACACUCUGGAUUUGAUCGAUUUGCCUCAACGGGGUCUUUAAGGACCAUACCAUUUGUACAUUGACUGUUGACUACAAAUUUUGUAUUUUAAAUAAAAUUAUGUUAC